CUCUGGUACCAAAACUAGUUUUCGCAGUGGUCUGACAGAAAGAAACAAUUUCUGAGAUCAUUGUGAAAGCUGAUUUUGAUCG
rnacentral:pre_miRNA from 1 species